AUUGAACGCUGGCGGCAUGCCUUACACAUGCAAGUCGAGCGGCUGCAGGGAGCUUGCUCCUGGAUUCAGCGGCGGACGGGUGAGUAAUGCCUAGGAAUCUGCCUGGUAGUGGGGGAUAACGUCCGGAAACGGGCGCUAAUACCGCAUACGUCCUGAGGGAGAAAGCGGGGGAUCUUCGGACCUCACGCUAUCAGAUGAGCCUAGGGCGGAUUAGCUAGUUGGUGGGGUAAAGGCCUACCAAGGCGACGAUCCGUAACUGGUCUGAGAGGAUGAUCAGCCACACUGGGACUGAGACACGGUCCAGACUCCUACGGGAGGCAGCAGUGGGGAAUAUUGGACAAUGGGCGAAAGCCUGAUCCAGCCAUGCCGCGUGUGUGAUGAAGGUCUUCGGAUUGUAAAGCACUUUAAGUGGGAAGGAAAAGCAGUGAGUUAAUACCUUGCUGUGUUGACGGUACCAACAGAAUAAGCACCGGCUAACUACGUG
rnacentral:rRNA from 1 species